rnacentral:rRNA from 1 species
CGCAGCCGCGGUAAUUCCAGCUCCAAUAGCGUAUAUUAAAGUUGCUGCAGUUAAAAAGCUCGUAGUUGAAUUUCGGGACCAUCAUGUCGGCCGUGCCUCGGUACGUACUGGCAUUGUUGGUUUCUCCCUUCUGACGAACCAUGAUGUCAUUUAUUUGGUGUUGUGGGGAAUCAGGACUGUUACUUUGAAAAAAUUAGAGUGUUUAAAGCAGGCUCACGCUUGAAUACAUUAGCAUGGAAUAAUGAAAUAGGACGUUUGAUUCUAUUUUGUUGGUUUCUAGGAUCGACGUAAUGAUUAAUAGGGAUAGUUGGGGGCAUUAGUAUUCAAUUGUCAGAGGUGAAAUUCUUGGAUUUAUUGAAGACUAACUACUGCGAAAGCAUUUGCCAAGGAUGUUUUCAUUAAUCAAGAACGAAAGUUAGGGGAUCGAAGACGAUCAGAUACCGUCGUAGUCUUAACCAUAAACUAUGCCGACUAGGGAUCGGAUGAUGUUAAUUUUUUAAUGUACUCAUUCGGCGCCUUA